AGAGUUUGAUCCUGGCUCAGAAUGAACGCUGGCGGCGUGCUUAACACAUGCAAGUCGCACGAGAAAGGUUCCUUCGGGAGCUGAGUAAAGUGGCGCACGGGUGAGUAACGCGUGGGUAACCUGCCCUCGAGUGGGGGAUAACCUGGCGAAAGCCGGGCUAAUACCGCAUGACGUCCCUGGGAUCUCGGUCCCGGGGAUCAAAGGUGGCGCGGUUCGACCGCUACCGCUUGAGGAGGGGCCCGCGUCCCAUUAGCUUGUUGGUGGGGUAACGGCCCACCAAGGCUACGAUGGGUAGCCGGCCUGAGAGGGUGACCGGCCACACUGGAACUGAGACACGGUCCAGACUCCUACGGGAGGCAGCAGUGGGGAAUUUUGGGCAAUGGGCGCAAGCCUGACCCAGCGACGCCGCGUGGGUGAUGAAGGCCUUCGGGUCGUAAAACCCUGUCAUGUGGGACGAAAAGUUCGGGUCCUAAUACGACUCGGACUUGACGGUACCGCAGGAGGAAGCCCCGGCCAACUCCGUGCCAGCAGCCGCGGUAAUACGGAGGGGGCGAGCGUUAUUCGGAAUCAUUGGGCGUAAAGGGCAGGUAGGCGGCCGCGCACGUCUCUUGUGAAAGCCCUCGGCUCAACCGAGGAAUGGCAAGGGAAACGACGUGGCUUGAGUCCGGGAGAGGAGAGUGGAAUUCCCAGUGUAGCGGUGAAAUGCGUAGAUAUUGGGAGGAACACCGGUGGCGAAGGCGGCUCUCUGGACCGGCACUGACGCUGAGCUGCGAAAGCUAGGGGAGCAAACGGGAUUAGAUACCCCGGUAGUCCUAGCCCUAAACGAUGAGCACUGGGUGUGGCGGGUAUCGACCCCUGCCGUGCCGAAGCUAACGCAUUAAGUGCUCCGCCUGGGGAGUACGGUCGCAAGGCUGAAACUCAAA
rnacentral:rRNA from 1 species